UGGGGGAUAUUGCACAAUGGGCGAAAGCCUGAUGCAGCGACGCCGCGUGGGGGAUGAAGGCUUUCGGGUUGUAAACCUCUUUCGCUAUCGAACAAGGCCCGCUUAGGGUGGGUUGAGGGUAGGUGGAGAAGAAGCGCCGGCUAACUACGUGCCAGCAGCCGCGGUAAUACGUAGGGCGCGAGCGUUGUCCGGAAUUAUUGGGCGUAAAGGGCUUGUAGGCGGCUUGUUGCGCCUGCUGUGAAAACGCGGGGCUUAACUUCGAGCGUGCAGUGGGUACGGGCAGGCUUGAGUGUGGUAGGGGUGACUGGAAUUCCAGGUGUAGCGGUGGAAUGCGCAGAUAUCUGGAGGAACACCGAUGGCGAAGGCAGGUCACUGGGCCAUUACUGACGCUGAGGAGCGAAAGCAUGGGUAGCGAACAGG
rnacentral:rRNA from 1 species